AUGAUCAUACUUCAUAGGAUCACUUCUAUAGUAUGAUUGCCAAGUUCCCUGACCGAAACUUGGUGUAACUUCAUGCCACGAUGACGAGGCUGAGUGUCCGUCCCUGAGCGGGAAGCUGCCCCUUGGAUCAUCCAGGGGCUUGAGGACUGUCCAUUCCUUGAGAAGGGUGUGGUGGGUCGGGCACAGGCUGAGUGGU
rnacentral:snoRNA from 1 species